GACAGAGGAUGCAAGCGUUAUCCGGAAUGAUUGGGCGUAAAGCGUCUGUAGGUGGCUUUUUAAGUCUGCCGUCAAAUCCCAGGGCUUAACCCUGGACAGGCGGUGGAAACUACCAAGCUGGAGUACGGUAGGGGCAGGGGGAAUUUCCGGUGGAGCGGUGAAAUGCGUAGAUAUAGGAAGGAACACCAGUGGCGAAGGCGACCACCUGGACUGAUACUGACACUGAGGUGCGAAAGCGUGGGGAGCAAACAGG
rnacentral:rRNA from 1 species